rnacentral:rRNA from 1 species
GACAGAGGGGGCAAGCGUUGCUCGGAAUCACUGGGCGUAAAGGGCGCGUAGGCGGGAUGGCAAGUCAGUCGUGAAAUCUCUCGGCUCAACCGAGAAACGUCGGCUGAUACUGCCGUUCUUGAGGGAUGCAGAGGAGACUGGAAUUCCCGGUGUAGCGGUGAAAUGUGUAGAGAUCGGGAGGAACACCAGUGGCGAAGGCGGUUGCCUGGAGCUUUGCUGACGCUGAGGCACGAAAGCGUGGGGAGCAAACAGG